ACGCCUGUAGCUCAGUUGGAUAGAGUGUCAGACUCCGACUCUGAAGGUCGUGGGUUCGAAUCCCGUCAGGCGUACCA
rnacentral:tRNA from 1 species